rnacentral:lncRNA from 1 species
CUCUUGCUUGUGUGCUUGAGCAGGUGUAAUCUUGUGUGAUUAUAGUGAAAUCCCUUGGAAGUGCAAGGGGACUGGACUACUCUCGUUUUGUGAGAGGAACCAGUAUAAAUUGCUGUGUGAUCUCUCUCUCUCUAUCUUGUUAUUUAUUGUGUUAUUUUUCCGCUGCUAACGUAGUUGAGUUAAGAACUUGAAAAAGUUUUAACUUAGCUAAAACACAAUUCAACCCCCCCCUUCUUGUGUUUUCACACCUUC